UGGCUCUCUUUGCCCAAAGUCUGUCUCUCUCUCUCUCUCCCUUCCUCAGCGAUGGCGCUUUACCCCAAGUCUGUCUCUCUCUCUCCCUCAGUGAUGGCUCUCUUUACCCCAAGUCUCUCUCUCUCCCUCAGUGAUGGCUCUCUUUACCCCAAGUCUCUCUCUCUCCCUCAGUGAUGGCUCUCUUUACCCCAAGUUCCCCUCUCUCUCUCCCUCCC